UACGGGAGGCAGCAGUGGGGAAUAUUGCACAAUGGGCGAAAGCCUGAUGCAGCUAUGCCGCGUGUAUGAAGAAGGCCUUAGGGUUGUAAAGUACUUUCAUCGGGGAGGAAAAACAAAACUAAUAAUUUUAUUUCUUGACGUUACCCGAAAAAGAAGCACCGGCUAACUCCGUGCCAGCAGCCGCGGUAAUACGGAGGGUGCUAGCGUUAAUCAGAAUUACUGGGCGUAAAGAGCACGUAGGUGGUUUUUUUAAGUCAGAUGUGAAAUCCCUGGGCUUAACCUGGAACUGCAUUUUGAAACUGAAAUACUAGAGUAUCGUAGGGGGAGGUAGAAUUCUAGGUGUAGCGGUGAAAUGCGUAGAUAUCUGGAGGAAUACCUGUGGCGAAAGCGGCCUCCUAAACGAAUACUGACACUGAGGUGCGAAAGCGUGGGGAGCAAACAGGGAUUAGAUACC
rnacentral:rRNA from 1 species